rnacentral:tRNA from 1 species
GGGGAUAUAGUUCAGUGGUAGACCACUUGCCUAGCAGUCAAGAGGCCUUGGGUUCAGUCUCCAUCAUCGCCU